GACGAACGCUGGCGGCGUGCUUAACACAUGCAAGUCGAACGAGACGAUUGAAAGCUUGCUUUCGAAAGUCGAGUGGCAAACGGGUGAGUAACGCGUAGACAACCUGCCUUUGAGAUGGGGACAACAGUUCGAAAGGACUGCUAAUACCGAAUGUUGUAUAUUUUCCACAUGGAAGAUAUAUUAAAGGUGGCCUCUAUUUAUAAGCUAUCGCUCAAAGAUGGGUCUGCGUCUGAUUAGCUGGUUGGUGGGGUAACGGCCUACCAAGGCGACGAUCAGUAGCCGGGCUGAGAGGAUGAACGGCCACAUUGGGACUGAAACACGGCCCAGACUCCUACGGGAGGCAGCAGUGGGGAAUCUUCCACAAUGGACGAAAGUCUGAUGGAGCAACGCCGCGUGAGUGAAGAAGGGUUUCGGCUCGUAAAGCUCUGUUGUCGGGGACGAAUGUGCAGUAUUUGAAUAAAGUACUGUAAUGACGGUACCUGACGAGGAAGCCACGGCUAACUACGUGCCAGCCGCCGCGGUAA
rnacentral:rRNA from 1 species